rnacentral:rRNA from 1 species
AUACGGAGGGUGCAAGCGUUACUCGGAAUCACUGGGCGUAAAGCGCGCGCAGGCGGCUAUUUAAGUUGGAUGUGAAAGCCUACGGCUCAACCGUAGAACUGCAUCCAAAACUAUUUAGCUAGAGUGUGGGAGAGGGAGAUGGAAUUAGUUGUGUAGGGGUAAAAUCCGUAGAGAUAACUAGGAAUACCAAAAGCGAAGGCAAUCUUCUGGAACACUACUGACGCUGAGGCGCGAAAGCGUGGGGAGCAAACGGGAUUAGAAACCCUAGUAGUCC